GUCGCGGUAGUAUAAAAAUACGCUACUCUUUCGUGGUAGAGCAGGCAAUCACACGGAGAUUGCCCCGUGAUA
rnacentral:tRNA from 1 species